rnacentral:lncRNA from 10 species
CUGCAUUGAAUAUUUCAGUACUGUACUUUCAAAAAAGUGAAGAGCCUCACAAGACUUCAUGUUCAGAAAGACCCCUGUGUGAGGAGCACACGUGUGACCUUCUGGAGCGUCUGGGCACUCCUCUCUGCUACAGAACUACAAAUGCUGUUUGGAGACCAGGAGCAGGUGAGUGAGGACAAGACGGAGGUGCUGCACAUGAGGCUGCAGGCCUAGGGAGGAGGUGAGGAUGGUCCAGGAAGCAGGGAUGUGGAGAAGCCCCCUGAAAGAGCUGCACAGAAUCACAAGGCAGCGAGGACACAGAAACCACUCUAGGUAUGACAAUCAGGGGCAUUUAAUGCAGGGAAUUUGUUAUAAGAUGUUGAAAAGCUGGAGGAGCAAAACAGAAUAUGGGGUAGCUGAAAGACAAAAGGGGGUAAAGAGGGAUACCCAGAGAUCAGAAAGAGAAGGACAGAGAGAAAGAUUAAGAUAUGGGCUGGGCAUGGUGGCUCACACUUGUAAUCCCCGCACUUUGGGAGGCCCAGGUGGGUGGAUCACGACAUCAGGAGUUCGAGACCAGCCCGACCAACAUGGUGAAACCCCAUCUCUACUAAAAAUACAA